GAAGGACGUUACUAACGACGAUAUGCUUUGGGGAGCUGUAAGUAAGCUUUGAUCCAGAGAUUUCCGAAUGGGGAAACCCAGCACGAGUUAUGUCGUGUUAUCUGCAUGUGAAUACAUAGCAUGCAAGAAGGCAGACCCGGAGAACUGAAACAUCUUAGUACCCGGAGGAAGAGAAAGAAAAAUCGAUUCCCUGAGUAGCGGCGAGCGAAACGGGAAGAGCCCAAACCAAUAAGCUUGCUUAUUGGGGUUGUAGGACACUCUGUACGGAGUUACAAAAGAAUUUGUUAGACGAAUAACCUGGAAAGGUUAAUCAUAGAAGGUAAUAAUCCUGUAGUCGAAAACGAAUUCUCUCUUGAGUGGAUCCUGAGUACGACGGAGCACGUGAAAUUCCGUCGGAAUCUGGGAGGACCAUCUCCUAAGGCUAAAUACUCUCUAGUGACCGAUAGUGAACCAGUACCGUGAGGGAAAGGUGAAAAGUACCCCGGAAGGGGAGUGAAAGAGAACUUGAAACCGUGUGCUUACAAGUAGUCAGAGCCCGUUAAUGGGUGAUGGCGUGCCUUUUGUAGAAUGAACCGGCGAGUUACGAUCUGAUGCAAGGUUAAGCAGAAAAUGUGGAGCCGUAGCGAAAGCGAGUCUGAAUAGGGCGAAUGAGUAUUUGGUCGUAGACCCGAAACCAGGUGAUCUACCCUUGGUCAGGUUGAAGUUCAGGUAACACUGAAUGGAGGACCGAACCGACUUACGUUGAAAAGUGAGCGGAUGAACUGAGGGUAGCGGAGAAAUUCCAAUCGAACUUGGAGAUAGCUGGUUCUCUCCGAAAUAGCUUUAGGGCUAGCCUCAAGUGAUGAUUAUUGGAGGUAGAGCACUGUUUGGACGAGGGGCCCCUCUCGGGUUACCGAAUUCAGACAAACUCCGAAUGCCAAAUAAUUUAACUUGGGAGUCAGAAUGUGGGUGAUAAGGUCCAUAUUCGAAAGGGAAACAGCCCAGACCACCAGCUAAGGUCCCAAAAUAUAUGUUAAGUGGAAAAGGAUGUGGCGUUGCCCAGACAACUAGGAUGUUGGCUUAGAAGCAGCCAUCAUUUAAAGAGUGCGUAAUAGCUCACUAGUCGAGUGACACUGCGCCGAAAAUGUACCGGGGCUAAACAUAUUACCGAAGCUGUGGAUUGUCC
rnacentral:rRNA from 1 species